ACUCCUACGGGAGGCAGCAGUGGGGAAUUUUGGACAAUGGGGGCAACCCUGAUCCAGCCAUGCCGCGUGAGUGAAGAAGGCCUUCGGGUUGUAAAGCUCUUUCGGCCGGGAAGAUAAUGACGGUACCAGCAGAAUAAGCACCGGCUAACUCCGUGCCAGCAGCCGCGGUAAU
rnacentral:rRNA from 1 species